rnacentral:rRNA from 1 species
CGCUGGCGGCAGGCCUAACACAUGCAAGUCGAGCGGUAGAGAGAAGCUUGCUUCUCUUGAGAGCGGCGGACGGGUGAGUAAUGCCUAGGAAUCUGCCUAGUGGUGGGGGAUAACGUUCGGAAACGGACGCUAAUACCGCAUACGUCCUACGGGAGAAAGCGGGGGAUCUUCGGACCUCGCGCCAUUAGAUGAGCCUAGGUCGGAUUAGCUAGUUGGUGAGGUAAUGGCUCACCAAGGCGACGAUCCGUAACUGGUCUGAGAGGAUGAUCAGUCACACUGGAACUGAGACACGGUCCAGACUCCUACGGGAGGCAGCAGUGGGGAAUAUUGGACAAUGGGCGAAAGCCUGAUCCAGCCAUGCCGCGUGUGUGAAGAAGGUCUUCGGAUUGUAAAGCACUUUAAGUUGGGAGGAAGGGCAGUAACCUAAUACGUUAUUGUUUUGACGUUACCGACAGAAUAAGCACCGGCUAACUUCGUGCCAGCAGCCGCGGUAAUACGAAGGGUGCAAGCGUUAAUCGGAAUUACUGGGCGUAAAGCGCGCGUAGGUGGUUCAGUAAGUUGGAAGUGAAAUCCCCGGGCUCAACCUGGGAACUGCUUUCAAAACUGCUGAGCUAGAGUACGGUAGAGGGUGGUGGAAUUUCCUGUGUAGCGGUGAAAUGCGUAGAUAUAGGAAGGAACACCAGUGGCGAAGGCGACCACCUGGACUGAUACUGACACUGAGGUGCGAAAGCGUGGGGAGCAAACAGGAUUAGAUACCCUGGUAGUCCACGCCGUAAACGAUGUCAACUAGCCGUUGGGAGUCUUGAACUCUUAGUGGCGCAGCUAACGCAUUAAGUUGACCGCCUGGGGAGUACGG